GGGUUGUGAGGUUAAGCGACUAAGCGUACACGGUGGAUGCCCUGGCAGUCAGAGGCGAUGAAGGACGUGCUAAUCUGCGAUAAGCGUCGGUAAGGUGAUAUGAACCGUUAUAACCGGCGAUUUCCGAAUGGGGAAACCCAGUGUGAUUCGUCACACUAUCAUUAACUGAAUCCAUAGGUUAAUGAGGCGAACCGGGGGAACUGAAACAUCUAAGUACCCCGAGGAAAAGAAAUCAACCGAGAUUCCCCCAGUAGCGGCGAGCGAACGGGGAGCAGCCCAGAGCCUGAAUCAGUGUGUGUGUUAGUGGAAGCGUCUGGAAAGGCGCGCGAUACAGGGUGACAGCCCCGUACACAAAAAUGCACAUGCUGUGAGCUCGAUGAGUAGGGCGGGACACGUGGUAUCCUGUCUGAAUAUGGGGGGACCAUCCUCCAAGGCUAAAUACUCCUGACUGACCGAUAGUGAACCAGUACCGUGAGGGAAAGGCGAAAAGAACCCCGGCGAGGGGAGUGAAAAAGAACCUGAAACCGUGUACGUACAAGCAGUGGGAGCACGCUUAGGCGUGUGACUGCGUACCUUUUGUAUAAUGGGUCAGCGACUUAUAUUCUGUAGCAAGGUUAACCGAAUAGGGGAGCCGAAGGGAAACCGAGUCUUAACUGGGCGUUAAGUUGCAGGGUAUAGACCCGAAACCCGGUGAUCUAGCCAUGGGCAGGUUGAAGGUUGGGUAACACUAACUGGAGGACCGAACCGACUAAUGUUGAAAAAUUAGCGGAUGACUUGUGGCUGGGGGUGAAAGGCCAAUCAAACCGGGAGAUAGCUGGUUCUCCCCGAAAGCUAUUUAGGUAGCGCCUCGUGAAUUCAUCUCCGGGGGUAGAGCACUGUUUCGGCAAGGGGGUCAUCCCGACUUACCAACCCGAUGCAAACUGCGAAUACCGGAGAAUGUUAUCACGGGAGACACACGGCGGGUGCUAACGUCCGUCGUGAAGAGGGAAACAACCCAGACCGCCAGCUAAGGUCCCAAAGUCAUGGUUAAGUGGGAAACGAUGUGGGAAGGCCCAGACAGCCAGGAUGUUGGCUUAGAAGCAGCCAUCAUUUAAAGAAAGCGUAAUAGCUCACUGGUCGAGUCGGCCUGCGCGGAAGAUGUAACGGGGCUAAACCAUGCACCGAAGCUGCGGCAGCGACGCUUAUGCGUUGUUGGGUAGGGGAGCGUUCUGUAAGCCUGUGAAGGUGUGCUGUGAGGCAUGCUGGAGGUAUCAGAAGUGCGAAUGCUGACAUAAGUAACGAUAAAGCGGGUGAAAAGCCCGCUCGCCGGAAGACCAAGGGUUCCUGUCCAACGUUAAUCGGGGCAGGGUGAGUCGACCCCUAAGGCGAGGCCGAAAGGCGUAGUCGAUGGGAAACAGGUUAAUAUUCCUGUACUUGGUGUUACUGCGAAGGGGGGACGGAGAAGGCUAUGUUGGCCGGGCGACGGUUGUCCCGGUUUAAGCGUGUAGGCUGGUUUUCCAGGCAAAUCCGGAAAAUCAAGGCUGAGGCGUGAUGACGAGGCACUACGGUGCUGAAGCAACAAAUGCCCUGCUUCCAGGAAAAGCCUCUAAGCAUCAGGUAACAUCAAAUCGUACCCCAAACCGACACAGGUGGUCAGGUAGAGAAUACCAAGGCGCUUGAGAGAACUCGGGUGAAGGAACUAGGCAAAAUGGUGCCGUAACUUCGGGAGAAGGCACGCUGAUAUGUAGGUGAAGUCCCUCGCGGAUGGAGCUGAAAUCAGUCGAAGAUACCAGCUGGCUGCAACUGUUUAUUAAAAACACAGCACUGUGCAAACACGAAAGUGGACGUAUACGGUGUGACGCCUGCCCGGUGCCGGAAGGUUAAUUGAUGGGGUUAGCCGCAAGGCGAAGCUCUUGAUCGAAGCCCCGGUAAACGGCGGCCGUAACUAUAACGGUCCUAAGGUAGCGAAAUUCCUUGUCGGGUAAGUUCCGACCUGCACGAAUGGCGUAAUGAUGGCCAGGCUGUCUCCACCCGAGACUCAGUGAAAUUGAACUCGCUGUGAAGAUGCAGUGUACCCGCGGCAAGACGGAAAGACCCCGUGAACCUUUACUAUAGCUUGACACUGAACAUUGAGCCUUGAUGUGUAGGAUAGGUGGGAGGCUUAGAAGUGUGGACGCCAGUCUGCAUGGAGCCGACCUUGAAAUACCACCCUUUAAUGUUUGAUGUUCUAACGUUGACCCGUAAUCCGGGUUGCGGACAGUGUCUGGUGGGUAGUUUGACUGGGGCGGUCUCCUCCUAAAGAGUAACGGAGGAGCACGAAGGUUGGCUAAUCCUGGUCGGACAUCAGGAGGUUAGUGCAAUGGCAUAAGCCAGCUUGACUGCGAGCGUGACGGCGCGAGCAGGUGCGAAAGCAGGUCAUAGUGAUCCGGUGGUUCUGAAUGGAAGGGCCAUCGCUCAACGGAUAAAAGGUACUCCGGGGAUAACAGGCUGAUACCGCCCAAGAGUUCAUAUCGACGGCGGUGUUUGGCACCUCGAUGUCGGCUCAUCACAUCCUGGGGCUGAAGUAGGUCCCAAGGGUAUGGCUGUUCGCCAUUUAAAGUGGUACGCGAGCUGGGUUUAGAACGUCGUGAGACAGUUCGGUCCCUAUCUGCCGUGGGCGCUGGAGAACUGAGGGGGGCUGCUCCUAGUACGAGAGGACCGGAGUGGACGCAUCACUGGUGUUCGGGUUGUCAUGCCAAUGGCACUGCCCGGUAGCUAAAUGCGGAAGAGAUAAGUGCUGAAAGCAUCUAAGCACGAAACUUGCCCCGAGAUGAGUUCUCCCUGACCCUUUAAGGGUCCUGAAGGAACGUUGAAGACGACGACGUUGAUAGGCCGGGUGUGUAAGCGCAGCGAUGCGUUGAGCUAACCGGUACUAAUGAACCGUGAGGCUUAACCUUACAACGCCGAAGCUGUU
rnacentral:rRNA from 1 species